rnacentral:rRNA from 1 species
AUUGAACGCUGGCGGCAUGCUUUACACAUGCAAGUCGAACGGUAACAGGCCGCAAGGUGCUGACGAGUGGCGGACGGGUGAGUAAUGCAUCGGAACGUGCCCAGUCGUGGGGGAUAACUACUCGAAAGAGUAGCUAAUACCGCAUACGAUCUAUGGAUGAAAGCGGGGGACCGUAAGGCCUCGCGCGAUUGGAGCGGCCGAUGUCAGAUUAGGUAGUUGGUGGGGUAAAGGCUCACCAAGCCAACGAUCUGUAGCUGGUCUGAGAGGACGACCAGCCACACUGGGACUGAGACACGGACAAGACUCCUACGGGAGGCAGCAGUGGGGAAUUUUGGACAAUGGGCGCAAGCCUGAUCCAGCAAUGCCGCGUGCAGGAAGAAGGCCUUCGGGUUGUAAACUGCUUUUGUACGGAACGAAACGGCUCUGGUUAAUACCCGGGGCUAAUGACGGUACCGUAAGAAUAAGCACCGGCUAACUACGUG